AUAAGUAAACACUCUGCGCGGCGCAGACAUGGCCUCUUCCUAUCUUUGAGGCGGUGUCUGCGGCAGCGCCUCAGAGUGGUUCCGGUCGUCUCUCCUCAAGUCGGCUAGUCGGGCGCGCGCGCUGAGAGUCGUCGCCGCCUGUCGGGCCCGGCGUCCGGUCGGUCCGGUGGGCGCGCUCGCCCGCCUGCCGCUGAGGGCCCGAGCCGCAGGGAAAGCGGCGCGGGCCGGGCGGGGCGCGGCGCCCAGAGCUCAGGGGGAGACAAAGGGGACCGGUUCCUCUCUAGGCGCCAAGAUGUGGAUACAGGUUCGCACCAUUGAUGGCUCCAAGACGUGCACCAUUGAGGACGUGUCUCGCAAAGCCACGAUUGAGGAGCUGCGCGAGCGGGUGUGGGCGCUGUUCGACGUGCGGCCCGAAUGCCAGCGCCUCUUCUACCGGGGCAAGCAGUUGGAAAAUGGAUAUACCUUAUUUGAUUAUGAUGUUGGACUGAAUGAUAUAAUUCAGCUGCUAGUUCGCCCAGACCCUGAUCAUCUUCCUGGCACAUCUACACAGAUUGAGGCUAAACCCUGUUCUAAUAGUCCACCUAAAGUAAAGAAAGCUCCGAGGGUAGGACCUUCCAAUCAGCCAUCUACAUCAGCUCGUGCCCGUCUUAUUGAUCCUGGCUUUGGAAUAUAUAAGGUAAAUGAAUUGGUGGAUGCCAGAGAUGUCGGCCUUGGUGCUUGGUUUGAAGCACACAUACAUAGUGUUACUAGAGCUUCUGAUGGACAGUCACGUGGCAAAACUCCACUGAAGAAUGGCAGUUCUUGUAAAAGGACUAAUGGAAAUAUAAAGCAUAAAUCCAAAGAGAACACAAAUAAAUUGGACAGUGUACCCUCUACGUCUAAUUCAGACUGUGUUGCUGCUGAUGAAGACGUUAUUUACCAUAUCCAGUAUGAUGAAUACCCAGAAAGCGGUACUCUAGAAAUGAAUGUCAAGGAUCUUAGACCACGAGCUAGAACCAUUUUGAAAUGGAAUGAACUAAAUGUUGGUGAUGUGGUAAUGGUUAAUUAUAAUGUAGAAAGUCCUGGACAAAGAGGAUUCUGGUUUGAUGCAGAAAUUACCACAUUGAAGACAAUCUCAAGGACCAAAAAAGAACUUCGUGUGAAAAUUUUCCUGGGGGGUUCUGAAGGAACAUUAAAUGACUGCAAGAUAAUAUCUGUAGAUGAAAUCUUCAAGAUUGAGAGACCUGGAGCCCAUCCCCUUUCAUUUGCAGAUGGAAAGUUUUUAAGGCGAAAUGACCCUGAAUGUGACCUGUGUGGUGGAGACCCAGAAAAGAAAUGUCAUUCUUGCUCCUGUCGUGUAUGUGGUGGGAAACAUGAACCCAACAUGCAGCUUCUGUGUGAUGAAUGUAAUGUGGCUUAUCAUAUUUACUGUCUGAAUCCACCUUUGGAUAAAGUCCCAGAAGAGGAAUACUGGUAUUGUCCUUCUUGUAAAACUGAUUCCAGUGAAGUUGUAAAGGCUGGUGAAAGACUCAAGAUGAGUAAAAAGAAAGCAAAGAUGCCGUCAGCUAGUACUGAAAGCCGAAGAGACUGGGGCAGGGGAAUGGCUUGUGUUGGUCGUACGAGAGAAUGUACUAUUGUCCCUUCUAAUCAUUAUGGACCCAUUCCUGGUAUUCCUGUUGGAUCAACUUGGAGAUUUAGAGUUCAGGUGAGCGAAGCAGGUGUUCACAGACCCCAUGUUGGUGGAAUUCAUGGUCGAAGUAAUGAUGGGGCUUAUUCUCUUGUACUGGCUGGUGGAUUUGCGGAUGAAGUCUUGACAGAGUUAUGAAUAUGAAUAUUGUGGAGUCUGUCCAGAUACCGGGUGGAAGACUGGUUUUGAUCAGUUUAAGAAGUAUUCUAAACUGUUCUAGAUGACCGAGGUGAUGAGUUCACAUACACUGGAAGCGGUGGUAAAAAUCUUGCUGGUAACAAAAGAAUUGGUGCACCUUCAGCUGAUCAAACAUUAACAAACAUGAACAGGGCAUUGGCCCUAAACUGUGAUGCUCCAUUGGAUGAUAAAAUUGGAGCAGAGUCUCGGAAUUGGAGAGCUGGUAAGCCAGUCAGAGUGAUACGCAGUUUUAAAGGGAGGAAGAUCAGCAAAUAUGCUCCUGAAGAAGGCAACAGAUAUGAUGGCAUUUAUAAGGUGGUGAAAUACUGGCCAGAGAUUUCAUCAAGCCAUGGAUUCUUGGUUUGGCGCUAUCUUUUAAGAAGAGAUGAUGUUGAACCUGCUCCUUGGACCUCUGAAGGAAUAGAACGGUCAAGGAGAUUAUGUCUACGUUUACAGUAUCCAGCAGGUUACCCUUCAGAUAAAGAAGGGAAGAAGCCUAAAGGACAGUCAAAGAAGCAGCCCAGUGGAACCACAAAAAGGCCAAUUUCAGAUGAUGACUGUCCAAGUGCCUCCAAAGUGUACAAAGCAUCAGAUUCAGCAGAAGCAAUUGAGGCUUUUCAACUAACUCCUCAACAGCAACAUCUCAUCAGAGAAGAUUGUCAAAACCAGAAGCUGUGGGAUGAAGUGCUUUCACAUCUUGUGGAAGGACCAAAUUUUCUGAAAAAAUUGGAACAAUCUUUUAUGUGCGUUUGCUGUCAGGAGCUAGUUUACCAGCCUGUGACAACUGAGUGCUUCCACAAUGUCUGUAAAGAUUGCCUACAGCGCUCCUUUAAGGCACAGGUUUUCUCCUGCCCUGCUUGCCGGCAUGAUCUUGGCCAGAAUUACAUCAUGAUUCCCAAUGAGAUUCUGCAGACUCUACUUGACCUUUUCUUCCCUGGCUACAGCAAAGGACGAUGAUCUGCCUGCUUUCACUGUGUUGUUCAUGGUGGCUUUUUGGACAAUAAAGAAUCUAAAAUGGGUGGGGAGGGUGGAAGAAAUGGUGGACUGUAUCUCUCACGUUCUGAAGCAGCUAAUCCUCUUUCCCACAUAGCCAUCAUCUUGUGUGUGUAGUAAGAGGCCCAUUUCUCAACUGUCUUUUAAAUAUCUAAAGGUAGUUCCUGUAACAACUAGUUUUAAUGAGUAAAAAGUCAAAGCCUCAGCUCUAGUUGAUAUCCAAGUUAUGAUUUAUUUUGCAACUACCUCAGGACAGAAAAGAUUUAUGGGGAUUUUAAAAAUCAUUGAAUAACUAGUUAAAUGAAAUUUUAGCUACACACUGCCUCCCAAAUAUUAGUUGUGCCUGGUUCUUGUAAUUUGAUUUUACAGAAAAGGAAAUGACACUUGAGAUCCUUGGAAUGAACACAGCUUCUAAAGUGUGCAUAUACUUUUUUAACGUCUCUUCUUCCAUUACAAUGUGUGUUUUGCAAGGACAGGUUCAUUUUUUUUAGCCCACUUUGUGAACUCCAUUGUGCUUUUUUCUGGUGUUUUAUGCAAGUUGACUACUAAUGACUAAUGAGAACAAUAAUGAAUGCAUUGUUGCUGCAUUAGUGUAAUGUGGUGUGGUUUUGCACUUAAAAGAGGUAUUCAUAUGCUCUAGUUGUAAAUGUUCAUGAAAAUCCACUUCUCUACUAGUCGAACUGCUUUUAGUGUCUCACCAGUGGUUUUACAUCUGCAGAGUUUUGAGGGCUGUGCUGACCUUUGAGAGGAUUUGAAAUUGCUUCAUAUUGUGAUCCUAAAUUUUAUAUUCACUAUAUUCCCUAAAGUAUACCUUAAUAAAUAUUUUAUGAUCAGAAAAA